rnacentral:rRNA from 1 species
AACGAACGCUGGCGGCAUGCCUAACACAUGCAAGUCGGACGAGACCUUCGGGUCUAGUGGCGCACGGGUGCGUAACGCGUGGGAAUCUACCCUUGGGUUCGGAAUAACAGUUAGAAAUGACUGCUAAUACCGGAUGAUGACGUAAGUCCAAAGAUUUAUCGCCCAAGGAUGAGCCCGCGUAAGAUUAGCUUGUUGGUGGGGUAAUGGCCUACCAAGGCGACGAUCUUUAACUGGUCUGAGAGGAUGAUCAGCCACACUGGGACUGAGACACGGCCCAGACUCCUACGGGAGGCAGCAGUGGGGAAUAUUGGACAAUGGGCGAAAGCCUGAUCCAGCAAUGCCGCGUGAGUGAUGAAGGCCUUAGGGUUGUAAAGCUCUUUUACCAGGGAUGAUAAUGACGGUACCUGGAGAAUAAGCUCCAGCUAACUCCGUGCCAGCCGCCGCAGUAA